GACCUGGUGGUGUAGUGGUUAACAUACCUACAUAGUGUAAGACUAACCAUGUUGAUAUGCGGGAGAUCUCUGUUCAAUUCAGGGCUGAGCCA